rnacentral:lncRNA from 1 species
GGCCAGGGGGUCUGCAUAUAUAGUCCCCUCAAGUGAAUCUGGGCCGUGGGAUCAAACCGACAUUGAUUGAACGGUUAUUCUUGAUCCUUUAGGUCGGUGGAGCAUAAUCCGUGAAGUUGAACAUGAUUGGCUGAAAUAGGUGGGCGGGCGCCCUGUCCCUGAGCCCUCUCGGCUUCCGCUUUGUUCUCGUGGCUUCUGGAGUCUUCA